rnacentral:rRNA from 1 species
CCUACGGGAGGCAGCAGUGGGGAAUAUUGCACAAUGGGGGAAACCCUGAUGCAGCGACGCCGCGUGAGUGAAGAAGGAUUUCGUUUUGUAAAGCUCUAUUAGCAGGGAAGAAAAUGACGGUACGUGAGUAAGAAGGCCCGGCCAACUACGUGCCAGAAGCCGCGGUAAUACGUAGGGGGCACGCGUUAUCCGGAUUUACUGGGUGUAAAGGGAGCGUAGUCGGUAGUGCAAGUCUGGAGUGAAAGGCGGGGGCUCAACCUGGGGUCCGCACUGGAAACUGUACGGCUGGAGUGCAGGAGAGGUGAGUGGAAUUCCUAGUGUAGCGGUGAAAUGCGUAGAUAUUAGGAGGAACACCAGUGGCGAAGGCGGCUAACUGGACUGUAACUGACGUUGAGGCUCGAAAGCGUGGGGAGCAAACAGGAUUAGAUACCCCGGUAGUC